rnacentral:rRNA from 1 species
AUGGCGGCCGAGGACAAGCUUCUUUGCGAGUGUUGGAGAGACAUUGGGGAAGACCCCAAGGCGGGCGCCGAACAAAAGCAUUCAACCUUCUGGAUUCGUGUCCACCGUGAAUUCCAUGAGCGCAAGAAGUUUCCGCCGUACCAAAUUGUAAGCGUGCGCGGGUGGGUGUCCAUUACGAAGCGUUGGAGGGUGAUCCAACAAGAGUGCAACAAGUUUUGUACCACUCUUGAGAGCGUCAAGGCCCGCCCCGUGAGCGGCAUCGGCAUGCAAGACAUGGUAUGCUAG